AUCUGAUCCAGCAUGUCAUUUAAAGCCCUUGUUUCCUUAUUGGCUUUGUGCUUAGAUGAUCUAUCCAUUGCAGUGGAUCCAGAGGCUUACUCAGAUCCACAUCCAAGAACUUUGGCAAAUGCAUAAGUCAUUUGAAUUUCUUCAGCAUGAGAAGUCUGGCUUUCCCUCUAUUUUUAAAUCAGUUUUGUAGCAUAAUUUAUGUACAAUAAAAUUCACC
rnacentral:lncRNA from 1 species